ACGAAACGAAUUUACGGGUUUUUGAUAAAAUUUUUAAGUCUUCGUUUUAUUUGAAAAAAAUUUAUGAUUAAUAGUUGUAUUGUUAUUAUAUGAUAAAACAUGAAUAGUACUUUACACAGGACUAAUUUUUUUCAAAUUUUAAUAAAAUUUUCAAAUAAGACGGAUGGUCAAACACUCAAAACUCAUAAAUCUUCUUUUU
rnacentral:pre_miRNA from 1 species